GACGAACGCUGGCGGCGUGCUUAACACAUGCAAGUCGAACGGAAAGGCCCUGCUUUUGUGGGGUGCUCGAGUGGCGAACGGGUGAGUAACACGUGAGUAACCUGCCCUUGAUUUUGGGAUAACUUCAGGAAACUGGGGCUAAUACCGGAUAGGAGCUCCUGCUGCAUGGUGGGGGUUGGAAAGUUUCGGCGGUUGGGGAUGGACUCGCGGAUUAUCAGCUUGUUGGUGGGGUAGUGGCUUACCAAGGCUUUGACGGGUAGCCGGCCUGAGAGGGUGACCGGCCACAAUGGGACUGAGGGACGGCCCAGACUCCUACGGUAGGCAGCAGUGGGGAAUAUUGCACAAUGGUCGGAAGCCUGAUGCAGCAACGCCGCGUGCGGGAUGACGGCCUUCGGGUUGUAAACCGCUUUCGCCUGUGACGAAGCGUGAGUGACGGUAAUGGGUAAAGAAGCACCGGCUAACUACGUG
rnacentral:rRNA from 1 species